ensembl:lncRNA
GACUGGGGUUGGCAUAACCUUGCUAGCAUUUCCCAGUACCUCACGGCCAUAAAAAAUAAACCACCUCCCGUGGGAUGAUUUUUGAGCCAUUCCAAAGCUGGGUAUCCCAGCUGCACCCUCAGGAUCUGCAAUCCGACAUGGAGAUUUGCUUGGAACAGGAACAGAAUGCUAGCAGGGAGUUUAUUUCUAUUAACAAUUCUAAUUGGGGUGAGGAAAAGGGCACGGGGGAGUUCCUGAGAGUAAUCUAUAUGAUUAUAUUGGCAGUUUGGUGACAAACACAAUCAAAGCCUCGGUGCAGGGCACAUCAAAGCAGCAGAUCCCUCUCCCUUGCUCUCUAAUCAUCAGACACUUCUUUCCCUGCAGAAUUGACUUGCCUCCAUCCCACAAACCUGCCCCUCCACCAAAGAGGAAACAGGAGAUGAAAAGCCACCUGACUCCAGAAGAUAUCCAGGUUGUUCACUUGGACAACAUGAAACACGAGGAGGAGAUCCAGAAGCUCCCCUUGCAGACUCCAUACUAUGACAUGGCAGCCCCUGAGCCCUCUCCCUACACUGACAAACUGAACUUUGGAAAGUGUCACCCAGAGGUAUCGGAUGCGGGUGAUUACCUGAGCCGCUGCUACUCACACCAGGAUCAUCGGUACCUGGAGAAGAUCCCUCGUGUCUACACCCCCCUGUCAGACCUCCCACAGGAUCUUUACCCUCACCACUCUGACAUCUCCUUCUGCUGCCCACCCCCAGGCUCCCGGGCUCCCUACAUCUGCCCUAAGGAGCAGUAUGUCUGAGGUGCAGAACGAAGAAGCUCCACGUUCUUUCACUCGGCGACCAAGGCCUUUUAGAUCCUGCCUCCCCCCCCCCUUUUUUUUGCCAUCAGCUAAAUUUUAUGGGUUGAUUUUUAAAGCUGGGUCAGGCUGAGCACCUGCCCAGCUUUGCUCGUGCCCAAGGGAACGCUCUGCCCACGUCUCCUGCAGCUCCUGCAUCGCUCUCUCCUUCCUCCUCCUGGCCCUGCUGUGCCCAGCUGGCUCCGUGUGUGCAUGUGUCCGUGGGUGGCAGCUGCCCCUGUGGUGGGUGGGAUGUGCCCAACCCCAUGAAACAUUCCCUGUAGGCUCCCUCAUGUCAUUCCCUGUAGGCUCCCUCCUGUCAUUCCCUGCACCGCAGGAGCCGGGUGUGGAUCCUCCACGGCCCCUGGUCCAGCCUGUGUGAGGUUUUCCAGCACAGCCAGGGCUCAGGGCUCAGGCUGUAGCUUUGGGAGUUGUUUUUUUUUUUCUAUCACCACCCCCCCCUCUUUGGAGAAAUUUCCCCCUUGGCAGUGGGGGUAGGAAAUCCCUGUUUGUGAAGAGCUAAACAGCCAGGAUGGCUGAACCAAAUCAUAAGAUGCUUGUAAUGAAAGAUGCUCAAAACCAACCCAAAAAUAGAGAUCAGUGCUUGACUUGGGGGGGUUUUGUUUCUAUCCUUUUCCCUUCCUGCUCCCAUUCCCCAUCUCUUGGAUUGACUCCUUUAAAUCCAUGUGACAUGGGGACGUAUUUUGAAGUCAACCCAUUUGGAGGAAGCAUCCUUUAAAUAACUGUCUUAUAACCUGAAACCAGAAGGGGAAAAUAAUUAUGAAGGAAAACAUUCUCUCUAAUUUUCUUUUCAAAGCCUAACGUGGCCCCCCACUAGCUUUUCCCCUCUCUCUUCCUUGCAUCUGUUGAUUGGAAUUUUAAAAUUAACUCAGGCAGAAUAUGAAGAACAAAUCAUGUUUUCAGGUAAUCUCCUUGCUCUUAAUGAAGGAUAAAAGCCAACAGAGGAAUCUGGCCUUUUAACUUUUUUAAAAGCAUCUUAGUUUUGGGACUACACUUUUUUUUUUUUUUUUGGAUAUUGGAAUGUGUGUGGGUGUGUCAAUCCAAACGUGUACAUUCCUGUGGCCACAAAGUGUUUUAGAGAAGGGAAUUUGUCUCCACAUCACAUUUGUGUUCACCUGUAUUAGAGGAAAAAAUAAAUGUCGAUAUACACUUAAAUGUAUAUAAAAG